GUGUCAGCAGCCGCGGUAAUACGGGGGGGGCAAGCGUUGUUCGGAAUUACUGGGCGUAAAGGGCUCGUAGGCGGCCAACUAAGUCAGACGUGAAAUCCCCAGGCUCAACCUGGGAACUGCGUCUGAUACUGGAUGGCUUGAAUUCGGGAGAGGGAUGCAGAAUUCCAGGUGUAGCGGUGAAAUGCGUAGAUAUCUGGAGGAAUACCGGUGGCGAAGGCGGCAUCCUGGACCGACAUUGACGCUGAGGAGCGAAAGCUAGGGGAGCAAACGGGAUUAGAUACCCCAGUAGUCC
rnacentral:rRNA from 1 species